rnacentral:rRNA from 1 species
AACGCUGGCGGCGUGCUUAACACAUGCAAGUCGAACGGUGAAAGCGGAGCUUGCUCCGCCGGAUCAGUGGCGAACGGGUGAGUAACACGUGAGCAAUCUGCCCCAGACUCUGGGAUAAGCGCUGGAAACGGCGUCUAAUACCGGAUACGAGCUACGAAGGCAUCUUCAGUAGCUGGAAAGAACUUCGGUCUGGGAUGAGCUCGCGGCCUAUCAGCUUGUUGGUGAGGUAACGGCUCACCAAGGCGUCGACGGGUAGCCGGCCUGAGAGGGUGACCGGCCACACUGGGACUGAGACACGGCCCAGACUCCUACGGGAGGCAGCAGUGGGGAAUAUUGCACAAUGGGCGCAAGCCUGAUGCAGCAACGCCGCGUGAGGGACGACGGCCUUCGGGUUGUAAACCUCUUUUAGCAGGGAAGAAGCCUUCGGGUGACGGUACCUGCAGAAAAAGCACCGGCUAACUACGUGCCAGCAGCCGCGGUAAUACGUAGGGUGCAAGCGUUAUCCGGAAUUAUUGGGCGUAAAGAGCUCGUAGGCGGUCUGUCGCGUCUGCUGUGAAAACCCGAGGCUCAACCUCGGGCCUGCAGUGGGUACGGGCAGACUAGAGUGCGGUAGGGGAGAUUGGAAUUCCUGGUGUAGCGGUGGAAUGCGCAGAUAUCAGGAGGAACACCGAUGGCGAAGGCAGAUCUCUGGGCCGUAACUGACGCUGAGGAGCGAAAGGGUGGGGAGCAAACAGGCUUAGAUACCCUGGUAGUCCACCCCGUAAACGUUGGGAACUAGUUGUGGGGUCCAUUCCACGGAUUCCGUGACGCAGCUAACGCAUUAAGUUCCCCGCCUGGGGAGUACGGCCGCAAGGCUAAAACUCAAAGGAAUUGACGGGGACCCGCACAAGCGGCGGAGCAUGCGGAUUAAUUCGAUGCAACGCGAAGAACCUUACCAAGGCUUGACAUAUACGAGAACGGGCCAGAAAUGGUCAACUCUUUGGACACUCGUAAACAGGUGGUGCAUGGUUGUCGUCAGCUCGUGUCGUGAGAUGUUGGGUUAAGUCCCGCAACGAGCGCAACCCUCGUUCUAUGUUGCCAGCACGUAAUGGUGGGAACUCAUGGGAUACUGCCGGGGUCAACUCGGAGGAAGGUGGGGAUGACGUCAAAUCAUCAUGCCCCUUAUGUCUUGGGCUUCACGCAUGCUACAAUGGCCGGUACAAAGGGCUGCAAUACCGCGAGGUGGAGCGAAUCCCAAAAAGCCGGUCCCAGUUCGGAUUGAGGUCUGCAACUCGACCUCAUGAAGUCGGAGUCGCUAGUAAUCGCAGAUCAGCAACGCUGCGGUGAAUACGUUCCCGGGUCUUGUACACACCGCCCGUCAAGUCAUGAAAGUCGGUAACACCUGAAGCCGGUGGCCCAACCUUUUGGAGGGAGCCGUCGAAGGUGGGAUCGGU